rnacentral:lncRNA from 1 species
GCCUGAGUUACAAUUACGCCUAUUAGCAUGUUAAUCUAAUGACACAAGUACUGUAUGUGUACUUUUUUAAAAACUAAAGAUUAAUAUGCAUGUUUACCCUUUAAGAUAAUUAGGCAAUGUAUGCAAUGCCUAGGCAAACUUUAGGCCUAAUGCGUGUAAAAUCAAUUAAUCAUGUUUUACCAGCUUAGGACCAAUCAGUUUCCUUUAACAUCUUGAACUCUGCUUCUAGUUUUGCCUCUUUGAAGUUCACUCUGUUUUACUAAAUUUUCUGCCCUAUUUUGAAGCAAUUUUGUAAAUUGUGUAUCCGCUUAUUCUCACUGAUGUUUGUUCUACUAUGUUUUCAAACCGCUAGGUGAUCCUUUCUACCCAAGAUUAUGCUAUUUAAAAUACCUAUACUACAUUUGGCCAAGUUACUGUAAUUUCAAUAUCCUUACUCUAUUUUCCAAAACAUGUUUUUUAACGAUUUCUAUCUGCUAUAUACCUCUGAAUCUUACUGCAAUCUUUAGCUAUAUUUUCCGAAAUCUCACUCCUGUCUUUAGUCACUUAGUCUUAGUUGAACCUUAUGCUUUUACUGCUAGGUUGCAAAAAUGUAUCCUCCUGAAACCUACUGUUAUAACUUGAAUAUUAAUGUUUUAAACUCCCAUCUUUGAGACCUUAACUGUGUUUGAGAUGUGCUAAUCAUUUGCUUACUUGUGCUGGGAUCUGUGAGCCUUUAUGUAAC